GGAGAAGAAUGAAGGUCAAAGAAUUGGACAAGAGAUUUGCAAGGACACAUAGUUCAUGGCUGUGGCAAAAAUAUUCACAGAAAUGCUGCCUUAAAACCUCUUGAAACAAGACAGACAGUAAAUACAACACAGUUGCCCAAAUGAAGAGAAAAGACAACAGACAUUCAUCAAGUUGGAAAGCAUUCAUUUGACAAAUGUUUAUCGAGUGGGAACAAAGGACGUAAUCUCUGCCUUCUGGGACACCAAAAGUCUACAAGAAGAAGCAGACGUAAACAAAAACUUUCCCUUCAAUUUGUUAAGUAUCAUGAUAGAAGUAGUUACAAAGGGCCAUGUGAUCACAAAGGAAAAGCAAUCUGUAUGGGGAAAGCUGGUACAGGUCUGCAGGAGAAAGUCACAUCUUAACUGGAAGAAUGUAUGGAAUUUUCCAAGAAGGAGAAGAGGAGAAAGAGUAUUCCAAACAGAAAUAGCACGUGCAAGCCUCAGAAACAACAAAAUCAUGGCACGUUCAGGGAAGAAAGAGAACUGCAGGGAAUAUUUAGCACAAGCCUCACUGACUGGUUCUCUGUCACCAUCCUUAUCAUCACUUUUGAUAACUUCACC